AUUUAUUUAGUAUAAUAAGUACAUAUGGCUUCCAACCAUAAAGUCUAUAAAUUAGAAUAAAUA
rnacentral:tRNA from 1 species